rnacentral:lncRNA from 1 species
UCAAGUUUAUCUUUAACUAAGGGUUGUUUCCGAUUUGUUUCAGUUGGAGCGAACUGUGAUGAGCAAGGUUCCUGCAAAUGCCCAGCAGGAUCUGCUGGCUUUCUGUGUCAGAAAAAGUUGACAUCUGUUGUGUGUGGAAGUACUUCAAUGACCGUCACCAUAGCUAAACAGCUAGUCCCAGGUGACGCAGGUGCUGUUCAUUUUCGAAACCAUUCCUGCUCCGGUGUAAACAGCUCGACUAGCACUCAUGAGAUCACUCUCACUACAGAAUACGAUCAAUGUGGCACCACCUUUGAGGAGGAUAACACAACUAUUACUUUCUCGAAUGAAAUCACCUACGCCAAGCCUGGUUUGGAGGAUGGUACAGUGAUCACCCGUGCUUAUCAAAUGCAGGUUAAGGUUGAAUGUUGCCUCAAGAAAGAGGAAAUCGUCAGUGGGUCCUUCAACCCCAACUUGGUGAGAUAGCCUUUAGCGACAAGGGCUCUGGUGACUUCAAUCUGAGACUAGAUAGGUUCCUGACAGAUACUUUUGUUGAGCUGAAUUCGUACGCCACCGCUGUUGUCUUGCAAGGAGAUGACCUCUAUUUUGCUGUGGGUCUUGAGUCCAUAUCAGAUGUUGGUAUGUUUAUUGAUCGCUGCUGGGCGACAACCACUCAAGACAUGGAUUCCAAUGGACAAUACUCUCUAAUUGCUCUAGGUUGCCCAGAUGAAGGAACAGUUGAUAUCUAUCGUCUCCUUGGAUUGAAUCGAGAAGGCUUUUCUUUCAAGGCAUUUGCCUUUGUUGGAGAUUACACUGAGGUGUACAUUCACUGUUCAGUGAAGGUCUGUGGUGCCGCGAAGGCUCAAUCGUUUCGAGACGCAGGAUGCCCCUCAGAAUCUCCACCUCCCGACCGCAAACGUCGAUCUUCGUCCGUUAUGUCCACUCAGACAAUCAGUAAUGGUCCGAUUCAUAUCCGUCGCUCAACCAACAAUAUGGCUACUAAUGAUCUGUCUUCCUACAACCCAUUUGUGAUGCUCCUCCUUGGAAUGAUAGCAACAUUGGUUGCUAUGGCGAUCCUGAUGGGUGUGGUCAAGCUUGUUCGUACCUCGACUGAUAUUGUCAACUAUCAGCGAGUUCCUGUUAAAUCGAUGGAAUGAAAUUCGAAGGGAUAACCAUGCACUCCAAAAAGGGCCAUAUAAUGGAAAAUAUUCUCAUUCAAACAGCGCCCUUUACUACACCCAGCAACAGAAAAAAAGGGGGAAACUCUCUAUUGUCAAAAUCGUUCAUAUAUACUGUCACUUAAAUAUAAUACAAUAAUACAACUUUGUCUAGAAUAUGGUGUGCCUUUAAUAAGGCUCUGUAAUCGGCUUUCAAUGCUUUAAAAUGUACCUUCAGCCAGUGGUACAUGAAUACAAUGUCCGAAACCAUAUUUAUGCCAACGACAUCCAGUUAUACUGCGCAUGUAAUCCGAAGGUUCCCCAAAGCAUCCACAAUACAUCGCGCAAAUUACAACAGUGUAUGUCUGAUGUUCAGUCAUGGAUGUUAGCUAAUACACUGAACCUUAAUCAGGACAAGAAAGAAUUCAUGAUUGCGGCAUCUCCAAAGCACCAUCAGCAGUUACAGCAUGUCCAUCUUAAGAUUGAUGAUCAUAUCAUCGAUCACCUUCACCACAUGUUCGCAAAUUAGGUGUUACCUUUGACAAGCGUAUGAAUAUGUCAGAUCAUGUUUCAAAUUAUUCAUAAUCUGUUGAUUUGUACUUACGUAACCUCAGUAGAAUAAGG